rnacentral:rRNA from 1 species
UACGUAGGGUGCAAGCGUUGUCCGGAAUUAUUGGGCGUAAAGAGCUCGUAGGCGGCCUGUUGCGUCCGCUGUGAAAGCCCGGGGCUUAACCCCGGGUCUGCAGUGGAUACGGGCAGGCUAGAGGUAGGUAGGGGAGAAUGGAAUUCCCGGUGUAGCGGUGAAAUGCGCAGAUAUCAGGAGGAACACCGGUGGCGAAGGCGGGUCUCUGGGCCGAUAUCGACGCUGAGGAGCGAAAGCGUGGGGAGCGAACAGG